rnacentral:rRNA from 1 species
CGACCCCAUGUCAGGCGAGAACACUUGCUGAGCUUAAGUAUAUAAUUAAGCAGAGGAAAAGAAACUUACAAGGAUUCCCCUAGUAAUGGCAAGUGAACCGGGAAGAGACCAACAUGAAAAUCGAGUGGCAACGCCGCUUGAAUUGUAGUUUAUAGAGGCGUCCUUAGCGGUGGACCAGGCCCAAGUCCCCUUAAAGGGGGCGCCUAAGAGGGUGACAGCCCCGUCGGGCUGGGACCCUACUGCACCAUGAGGCGUUGUUGAUGAGUCAGGUUGUUUGGGAAUGCAACCCUAAUCGGGUGGUAAAUUUCGUCCAAGGAUAAAUACGGGUGAGAGACCGAUAGUGAACAAGUACCACAAGGGAAAGAUGAAAAGGAAUCUGAAAAGAGAGUUAGAGAGUGCUUAAAAUUACUGGGAGGGAAGCGAAUGGAGGUCGACGAUGCGUUUCAGUUGGAUGCAGAACAACUCAAUCUAGUCUGCCACUCGACUCGAGGUGUGAACUAGCAUAGGCCGUUGCAUCAACACAAGCGCGGGUGGAGUACUGCCUGUUGGUUUUCCAUGGUAGUCGUGGAACGAAGCAUGCGCCCCUUGGGGCGGACCACUGUGCACCUUCACACUCGUGGUGUUGGUUGGAAGGCUUUCCAUAAACACAGACCAAGGAGUCUAACAUGUGUGCGAGUCGGUGGGUUUGUAAACCUGCGAAGCGUAAGUAAGAUGACAGGUGGGAUCCCCUCUCCAUGGGGUGCAUUUCUGAACAAAAUUGAGCUUGUGCAAAGGGUUUGAGUGCGAGCACACCUAUGGGGAUCCAACAUAUGGUGAACUAUGCCUGAGUAGAGUGAAGCCAGAGGAAAUUGUAGUGGAGGCGCGUAGCGAUACUAAUGUGCAAAUCAUUCAUCUGACUUGGGUAUAGGGUCGAAAUACUAAUCGAACCAUCUAGUAGUUGGUUUCUUCCGAAGUUUCCCUUAGGAUAGCUGGAGCUCACAUGUUAGUUUUAUCAGGUAAAGCAAAUGAUUAGAGGCAUCGGGGGCAUAACCCCCUCAACCUAUUCUCAAACAUUAAAUAGGUAAGAUGGUGCGACUGCUCCAUUGAGCUGUGCCAUGAAAUCAAGAGCUCUAAGUGGGCCUUUUUUGGUAAACAAAAGUGGUGAUGUGGGAUGAAUUGAAAGUCAAGUUACGGUGCCAAACUGUGCUCUAACCUAGAUCCCACAAAGGGUGUUGGUUGAUUAAGACAACAUGACGGUGGUCAUGGAAGUCGAAAUCUGCUAAGGAGUGUGUAACAACUUAGCUGCCGAAUCAACCAGCCCCUAAAAUGAAUGGCACUAAAGCGCGCAACCUAUACUCGACUGUGGGAGAAAUUUCUAGGCUUCGAUGAGUAGGAGGAUGCGACGGUCGUUGAGAAACCUUGGGCAUGAGCUUGGGUGGACCGGUCCUCGAUGCAGAUCUUGGUGGUAAUAACAAAUAUUCAAAUGAGAACUUUGAAGACCGACGUGGGGAAAGGUUCCAUGUGAACAACACUUGGACAUGGGUUAGUCAAUCCUAAGAUAUGGGGAAGCCCUGUAUCAAGGGUGCACUCUGCACGAACAUCAAAAGGGAAUAAGGUUAAUAUUUCCAAACCAGGACAUGGCGGUAGACGUUAAUGUUAGGAAAUAUGGAGACGUCGUUGGGGGCCCCGGGAAGAGUUAUAUUUUAUUUUUAACAACUUGCCUACCCUGAAAGCCGCUCAACCGGAGAUAGGGUCCAGUAGCUGGAAGAGCAUCGCACGUCUUACGGUGUCUAGUGCGCCCUCGGUGGCCCUUGAAAAUCUGGAGGACUGAGUACUGUCCAUGCUCGAUCGUACUCAUAACCGCAUCAGGUCUCCAAGGUGAACAACCUCUUGUCAAUAGAACAAUGUAGGUAAGGGAAGUCGACAAAACAUAUUCGUAACUUUGGGAAAAGGAUUGGCUCUGAGGGCUAGGCCUAGGGAUCUGCAUCCUCAACCUGUGGCUGUCGACAGUCUGCCCGAGCUGCUAUCAUGACGAGGGUGGGAAGUUGCGUGUCGAUUGGGCUACAGACGUAGAAUGUCCCCUCGUGGGGGAUUUGCCCUAGGCGACGAACAAUCGACUUAGAAAUGGUAUGGACAAGGGGAAUCCGACAGUUUAAUUAAAACAAGGAAUUGCGAUGGUCUCUGCGGAUGCUGAUGCAAUAUGAUUUCUGCCCAGUGAUCUGAAUGUCAAAGUGAAGAAAUUCAACCAAGCAUUGGUAAACGAUGAGAGUAACUAUGACUCUCUUAAGGUAGCCAAAUGCCUCUUCAUCUAAUUAGUGACGUGCAUGAAUGGAUUAAUGAGAUUCCCAUUGUCCCUAUCUACUAUCUAGCCAAACCAAUUUCAAAGGAAUGGGCUUGGCAGAAUCAAUGGGGAAAGAAUACCCUAUUGGGCUUGACUCUAGUCCAACUUUGUGAAAUGAGUUGAGAGGUGUAGAAUAAGUGGGAGUCGUUUUUGGUGCAAGUGAAAUACCACUACUUUUAACGUUAUUUUACUUAUUCCCAGGGGUGGAGACGUGGCAUCGCCCCUGUUUUUGGCCUUAAGACACGUUUCGAUGGGUCGAUCCGGGUGGAAGACAUUAUCAGGUGGGGAGUUUGGCUAGGGCAACACAUCUGUUAAAAAAUAACACAGGUGUCCUAAGGUGAGCUCAACGAGAACAAAAAUCUUGUGUGGAACAAAAGGGUAAAAUCUCAUUUGAUUUUGAUUUUUAGUAUGAAUACAAACCAAGAAAGUGUGGCCUAUCGAUCCUUUAGACUUUCAGAAUUUGAAGCUAGAGGUGUCAGAAAAGUUACCACAGGGAUAAAUGGCUUGUGGCAGCCAAGCGUUUAUAGCGACGUUGCUUUUUGAUCCUUCAAUGUCAUCUCUUCCUAUCAUUGUCACUUGGGCAGAGAAAUUGCCCAACUGUGGGGAAUUCGGGGUUUCUGAGUCUCAUGGAGCGGAAAAAUCACACAAGUGUGGGGAAUUUGGGGUUUUCAAGUCUCGUCGAGCUGAGAAAUUCCCCAAGUGUGGGGAAUUCGAGGUUUUUGAGUCUCGUCAAGUAAAUAAAUCACCCAAGUGUGGGUAAUUCAGGGU